GCGAUCUCUUGAAGGAUAGGAAAAGAGGAGAGAGUCUAAUUCUUCUUGCAAAUCGAUAUCGUUGUGACUUUCGAAUCCUCUGACGAUGGUGCAGCACCUGUUGAUGAUAUCGAAUGAAUGGAGAAGAAAGGACUGACAGCAGGAAGCAAAGCAAAGAAACAAGCUUCAAAUGACUACAGAGAGCUUAUUUGUUCUCUUAGGAGCUCUCAGAAGGCAGGACUUCAUUUUCAAGGCCAAACUACUGCAUCUUCGGAAAUUUCCAACAAAUAGCUUCAGUAUCUACAUGAUUGUAAAUGGAUCAAAUCACAAGCAACUGCAUCCGGUAUCAGAGAUCUUAUCCUCUCAACACGAGAGCAGUCUUCAAGCUCGACAUCAACUAAAGAAGUGUGAUCGUAGGAGAUACACAGGUAGUCAGGGGGGAGCUGUAAGCAGAUGGUUUGUCUGCAUCCCUCGUCGGCAUUCACAAGACCUGGUUGUCUGACCACAACUGCGUGCGUGCAGGAGAAGCCAUCAGAGAUUACCAUGCUACAACUCUGACCACAUAGAUGAGGAAAAAGGAAGUAGUCGAGGCCAGACAGGAGGAUGACUCCAUUGACGAAAGAAAGCUUCUUCGUCCUGUUGUAGACCAUUGCAGUCGAGGAAUUCUUGUAUCUGCAUUGCCGUCGUGUCUCUCACGAUGAUCCAGUCUAUGUUAUGAUUUCUUGGGCUAAUCUUUUGCAGAUUUGCAUCAGAAUUCAUCUGAUCCGUUAGGUAUAGUAGGUCGUCCGUCUAUACGAUGAUGGGUGGAGUUGACCGAACAUUUU